AGUGUGCCUCGAGAAAGUUCACGUGUGCGAGACCCUGCGCACAUGCAUGGUGAGUGUUGUGGCGAGUGCCAGAGCAGAGGCCACCAAGAGGCUGGCGGGUAGGGUUGCUGCACGUGGCCUCGUGGGAAGCAUGCGGCUAAUGUGCGCCGAGUGCACGAGACAAUUUACUUUGAGGGCCUACAAGUACCUAGCCUUGGAGGAUGUUGUUUGAGGGUGCGGAACAGAGGGGUUCGAAGCCACUCCAAGUAUGUGUAGCACUUUGCAGGCUGCACUCCACAAGGUGUCUUCCUAAAGCUGCUGGAUGGAAGCGGUAGCUGACGUUUGUGCCGGGGACUCAGGCCUUUGGAACACGCACGGGUCUGUGGGACAGUGUGGACCCAGAACGACUAGGUGUGCAGAGAGAUGCGCGAAGGUUGCAAAAUAUAUCCGGCAUGGCAGUUGGUGAAGUUAUGCAAUCACCCCCAACUUACGGAAACCACCUUGUGGUGCUCCUGCGGAGCAGAGGUGGAUGGCCGGGCCACUCGGCUGGCUGCAAGCCUAAAGUGGUAGUCGGCUUCUUAUAGGUCCCAGACCAUCCAUCAGAGCUCACCUUAUGGAUGUGGAACCAACCAUUGACAGGGCUGGAGAGCAUGGUCCGAGGAGCUGUGGUGGCCAGCUGGAGACAGGGUCGUGCCAGGGGUCAGUUGUCCCCGUUCUUGGGUGAGACAACAAGCUUCAGAACGAGGCUCAGGUAGCAAACAGACUUAGGGGAGAGUCCCUCAGAGCCCUGUCCCAGCUCCAUAUCGGACUUUCUCCUAUUCAGAGCUCCCAUAGCAGGAUAAAAUGAAGAUGCGACAAGUUCAUGGUGCGAGAGAGAAGCCUGAUCCAAUCUGCUGACAUCCUGGGAAUCAUCAAGGCAACGUCAGGACGUGUCCUGGACAGCCAUGCCUACCACAGCUAAAUGCGGG
rnacentral:lncRNA from 1 species